UUUAAAUGGCCGCAGUAUACUAACUGUGCAAAGGUAGCAUAAUCAUUAGUCUUUUAAUUGAAGGCUGGUAUGAAUGGUUGGACGAAAUAUUAACUGUUUCAUUGAAAUUUUUUUUUGAAUUUUAUUUUUUAGUAAAAAAGCUAAAAUUUGAUUAAAAGACGAGAAGACCCUAUAAAUCUUUAUAUACACAUAUAUUAGAAUUUUUUAGAUUUAUUUUAUUAUAAUAAUUGAUUAUAUUUUAUUGGGGUGAUAUUAAAAUUUAAUAAACUUUUAAUUGUUAAAAUCAUUAAUUUAUGAAUAUUUGAUCCGUUAAUAACGAUUAAAAAAAUAAGUUACUUUAGGGAUAACAGCGUAAUUUUUUUGGAGAGUUCAUAUCGAUAAAAAAGAUUGCGACCUCGAUGUGGGAUUAAGAUAUAAUUUUAGGUGUAGCCGCUUAAAUU
rnacentral:rRNA from 1 species